rnacentral:rRNA from 1 species
AACGGUCCUAAGGUAGCGAAAUUCCUUGUCGGGUAAGUUCCGACCUGCACGAAUGGCGUAAUGAUGGCCAGGCUGUCUCCACCCGAGACUCAGUGAAAUUGAACUCGCUGUGAAGAUGCAGUGUACCCGCGGCAAGACGGAAAGACCCCGUGAACCUUUACUAUAGCUUGACACUGAACAUUGAGCCUUGAUGUGUAGGAUAGGUGGGAGGCUUUGAAGUGUGGACGCCAGUCUGCAUGGAGCCGACCUUGAAAUACCACCCUUUAAUGUUUGAUGUUCUAACGUUGGCCCGUAAUCCGGGUUGCGGACAGUGUCUGGUGGGUAGUUUGACUGGGGCGGUCUCCUCCUAAAGAGUAACGGAGGAGCACGAAGGUUGGCUAAUCCUGGUCGGACAUCAGGAGGUUAGUGCAAUGGCAUAAGCCAGCUUGACUGCGAGCGUGACGGCGCGAGCAGGUGCGAAAGCAGGUCAUAGUGAUCCGGUGGUUCUGAAUGGAAGGGCCAUCGCUCAACGGAUAAAAGGUACUCCGGGGAUAACAGGCUGAUACCGCCCAAGAGUUCAUAUCGACGGCGGUGUUUGGCACCUCGAUGUCGGCUCAUCACAUCCUGGGGCUGAAGUAGGUCCCAAGGGUAUGGCUGUUCGCCAUUUAAAGUGGUACGCGAGCUGGGUUUAGAACGUCGUGAGA